CACUAGAAUUAGAGUCCAAUAUCCAACUAGAAGUAGAAGAAAUUAUUAGGUUAGAUUCUAUUAUGAGCAUGCCUUCACAAGGCAUUUUACUCCUUUUCUUUAGGCUCUCUAGGAUAGAAUAUCUUGUACCCUUUAAGGUACUCUCAGCAAUGACCAGCAUUUUGACCAACUGGGUAAGUUGCAGUCUAAUUUGUUCAUAUGGUAGUUUAUGAUAAACUACCCAAACAAACUGAUCAGAGAUUGGAGGAUCAAAAUCACCUUUAACUCCCUCUGCAUAUUCAGUCCGAGCUUCUCAAGCUCCUCUAGAUCUUUGAUCAUAGUUAUAUAGUGAUCAUGGACAGAUUGCCCCUCGUGCACCUUCAUAUUGAACAACCAUUUGGAUAAUUCAAAGCACGCGGUCUGGCUCUGUUCAUCGUACAACUCUUGCACGUGAGUGAUCAUGGCAUAGGCAGUGGGCAUGUGCUUAUACUGAUUCUGCAACUCGUUUGACAUCGAAGCUAGCAUAUAGCACCUCACCCUAAGGUCAUCAUUCGUCCACUUGUCCAGAGUAGCUCUUUGCUCUGCCAUAAGAUGGGCUGGAAAGGUUAGGGUAUCCUGGUCAAGUACAUACCCAAUUUUUUCGGAUGUCAAGACUAUCCUGAGAUUCUGAGUCAGUUCUUAUAAUUUAUACUGGUC
rnacentral:lncRNA from 1 species